GCCAACAUGUAAUACUGGAAACCCAUAGCUAUUGACUCCACUGUUAACAGUUCAAAAUAUAGAUAUCAUUAUUAGUUUCAGGAAAACCAAAAUGGAUAUUAAACAAAAAAAUGAAAUAAAAAAAUGCAAGUUGAAAAAGGACUAAAUUUUAACAUAACCUAAGAUGGUUUCGAAACUUUACAAAACUUUAAGCCUUGAAGUUGGUCUAUUGGUAUGUGAUUUAUAUCCUCUAUCUCUUGGAGCUUUCAUGACCUCUAUGACACUUUGUAACUCUUCGUUUGCUUCUAAACCUUAAUGUUGAGGAAGAAUAAGUAAAAAAGUAAUAGGAUGAGAGAAAGUUAGUAAAAAUAUAGAAACUCUGGAUAUAUGUACACAAAAAAAGGACUCAUUGAAAUGCAGUAAAUAAGGUUCACUGAUUUAGAUAAUGAAAAUGUAAUGUCUAACUAAAAAUGCACAAAAUAUGCUUGAUUGAUAAAAAAGUGAUAAAAAUGAUUAAUUUUUAAUAAAUAAGUUAGAUAAUGAGCAUGCAUAUCCAAAAUAACAUAAAAAAUUAACAUGCAAAAGUUAGAAUGGAGGAAGUAAGGAAAAUAUUGAACUACAAAUAAUAUUUUCAGUUGUUAUACAUUGCAAUCCUUUUUUCUAUAGCAAUCAUUCAAAUAAAAACUUCAAAAGUUGUAUCAAAUACAUGACAAAUUUACAAAGACAUUGUUAAGGCAAUAGAACAUUUGAAAAGACAUUGACUGAUGACACCAAUUUUAUACCAUAAAUUAUCUACAAAACACUUUUUCCAUGGAAUGGAGUCAAGUUUUCCAUCUAGGUGUCAUAUUGUGUUUGUUGAAUAGGAGAUGAUAAUUAAAGGAGAGCAAUUAAACUAUUAAAGUUUAUUUAGUAAGAAAAU
rnacentral:lncRNA from 1 species